CGCUGGCAUUUUCCUUUCUGUCGGGGGAGCGGUUGGGGAGGGGCGCCCGGUCUUCCCUCUCUCCCUGGGCUGCGCCAGAGCUUGGGGUCCCCAGUUUUGUGGGCGACGUUCCGCGUCCGCUCCAGGGCCUGCUCUGCGCUCCCCUUCAGGUCUUAAUGGGGUGCAUUCUCGUGGCGGACGGGACGGGGAUGGGUCGCAAGUCUCGGACCCAGGGCAAACGCUCGGGACCGACGUGGGAGAUUUCAGCUCUGUGGCGACGUCUGCAGCCCCUACCCGGGCGCCCGGAGUGAUGCGGGGGGGUCCAUUUGGGAGGACCAGGAAUUACUUUCUGGCCAGUCUGGUGACGCUUUGGCAGAAAUUAAGAAGGAAAAUAUCCCCCUUAAGAGCAAAAAGCUAAUUGCUUGGAUGGACCCUGUCACCAGAGCCCUGCCAGGCAAACACCUGGGCAUGGGUGCCAUUGAUGCUUAAUACCACUGAUAUUCUCUAAAGUUCCAAAAUAGGACUUAAAGGUAGUUGUUGUUGUUUUUUGUCAUAGACACAUGUUCAGUGGGAGAAUUGGACUUGACUGAACACACUUCUGUGUUAUUAGGGAGUAAAGCC